rnacentral:rRNA from 1 species
CCUACGGGAGGCAGCAGUGGGGAAUUUUCCGCAAUGGGCGAAAGCCUGACGGAGCAACGCCGCGUGAGGGAUGAAGGCCUCUGGGCUGUAAACCUCUUUUAUCAAGGAAGAAGAUCUGACGGUACUUGAUGAAUAAGCCACGGCUAAUUCCGUGCCAGCAGCCGCGGUAAUACGGGAGUGGCAAGCGUUAUCCGGAAUUAUUGGGCGUAAAGCGUCCGCAGGCGGUCUUGUAAGUCUGUCGUUAAAGCGUGGAGCUCAACUCCAUUUCGGCGGUGGAAACUACAAGACUAGAGUGUGGUAGGGGCAGAGGGAAUUCCCGGUGUAGCGGUGAAAUGCGUAGAUAUCGGGAAGAACACCAGUGGCGAAGGCGCUCUGCUGGGCCAUAACUGACGCUCAUGGACGAAAGCUAGGGGAGCGAAAGGGAUUAGAUACCCCUGUAGUCCUAGCCGUAAACGAUGAACACUAGGUGUCGGGGGAAUCGACCCCCUCGGUGUCGUAGCUAACGCGUUAAGUGUUCCGCCUGGGGAGUACGCACGCAAGUGUGAAACUCAAAGGAAUUGACGGCNGAGACGNGCCGACGGACGACGACGAGGGAGGAGG